UCUUAAAACAUAUAAUGGAUAAUACUAACCGCGCAAACCGACUUGAUUAGUUCAUUACCGUUCCACCAGAGCAUAAAAUAAAAAAACAAAUAGCCACACACAUCCCUGCAAUUUCCUAAAUCAAUACUGUAUAAAAUAGAGUGAUAACAAAAAUAAAUAUUUGUAUUAUGGAUUUAUUGUCUGUCUAUAACUAAUAGAACAAUGAGUUACCCAAGCCUUCAUAGAGUCACCAAUACAGUAAAAUCAUUGUGGAUGAAGUAUACCCACCUAACUUUCACAUUAAUGUAUCCAAGGAAAGUAUGAAAACACUUGAUGCAAAAUUAAAAUAAACUAAAAAGAAGGAUGCCUCUUACAUCCACAACCAAAGCACACCUUGUAGCCAUGCAAGACAACAGUUCUUCUACUACUGGUAUAAGGAGAAGACCACGCUUGCUGCUAGCAGACAGUCCGCACAUGAUAGUAAUCAAAAUGUGUAUGCCAUUAAAGAUAAGUAAUGUCUAUAAUCAUGCUUUCUGCCACAAUUAACAAUACUUUUUUGAGUAUGCUCCAAUCAUCUUGACCAGUGUCAAUCCAACUUCCAAAUUUCUAUUCCAAAAGAUUAACACCAUGCAGAGAUCCAAGUUUUGGAAUCAUCAUCUAGAACAACAAAAUGAGACCGACCACCAGCACCACCUCAGACAAAGGGCAGACCAGCCUCCUUCGUUAGGAGGGCCCGCCGCCACCGUUGCGGAGGCUGGCUGCAGCAGGGGCGAGUGGGAGCGGGGUGACUGGAGGAGGACGAUACACUGUUUCGGGAGGGAGGGGAGGGGCUUGUGGAGGAGGAGGGAGAGACGAAGGGGGGCGGAGGAAACCUGCGAUGACUAGGGUUUUGGAGGGCUACGACCUCCUUGUCGUGGGCCAAAUCUGUCGUCGGAGAUGGCGGUCUCGUCAGUCCGUGACCUGGAUCCUUCAUAAAGACGAAGCAGAGGUGCGGCGACAUGCGAACGGGAUGGGAAUGGGCAGAUGGACGGCGGCGCGCAUGCGAGCUGGAUGAGGACGGGGGGACAGACGGCAAUGCCGCGCGAGUGGGAUGGGGACCGGAGGAUGACGGUGUCUACGAGGGGAUCGAGGGUAGCAUCUGGGUUUGGACGGGAGUACUGAUUUUUUUUUUGUUGUACAUGCAAUACGGGUGGGGGGAGACGAAGUUAAACCGGUUGAAAAUAAAUUUGGAUGAUAUUCUAUCAAGUUAGCAAUUAGGAGUAGAGAUAAAGUGUAUCACGUACACACGUACUAGUACGAGAAACGCACAAAGUUUUUACUGAUUUUCAAAAGAGAAAGAUCGAGCACAUAUUUGUGUAUAAGGACCCCUGUUUCAGA
rnacentral:lncRNA from 1 species